rnacentral:lncRNA from 1 species
AGAGGAUGUUCAACUUCAAGAAGGACAAGGAUGGUUACUGGAAGUGGUUCGGUGGCAACCUUGCUUCUGGUGGUGCCGCUGGUGCUUCCUCGCUGUUCUUCGUGUACUCCCUGGACUAUGCUAGGACAAGGCUGGCCAAUGACGCAAAGGCAUCCAAGGGUGGAGGUGAAAGGCAGUUCAAUGGCCUUGUUGAUGUCUACCGCAAGACUCUCAAGUCAGAUGGUAUUGCUGGGCUUUACCGUGGAUUCAACAUCUCCUGUGUUGGAAUCAUUGUCUACCGUGGUCUCUACUUUGGGCUGUAUGACUCUCUAAAGCCAGUUCUCCUUACUGGCACUCUCCAGGUUUGUUCUAGUACCCUGCUGUUUCCAAAUUUCUCAUGUUUUCUUUUGUUUGCCUGACAGCACUGACAUCCUUUCUCACCAUUGAUGUGUCUGCAGGACAACUUCUUUGCCAGCUUUGCUCUUGGUUGGUUGAUCACCAACGGUGCGGGUCUUGCAUCUUACCCCAUUGACACGGUCCGCAGAAGGAUGAUGAUGACCUCCGGGGAGGCUGUCAAGUACAAGAGCUCCUUGGAUGCUUUCAAUCAGAUCCUGGCUAAGGAGGGUGCCAAGUCCCUCUUCAAGGGUGCUGGUGCUAACAUCCUCCGUGCCAUUGCUGGUGCUGGUGUGCUCUCCGGCUACGAUCAGCUCCAGAUCCUCUUCUUCGGCAAGAAGUACGGCUCAGGCGGUGCCUAGAGGGGAAGAAAUGAUGACGAACAAGAGAAGUCUGUUCCCAGUCCUGCCCUUCGAGGAUCUGGCGAACUUUUAUCUUUUUAACGUUGGAAGGCAAUAAUUUCUGUAGAGGGUGGAUUUUCCCAACAUUCGUUUUUGGUGGAGGCAUCGAACUCCAGAGGUUGUCGU